rnacentral:misc_RNA from 1 species
CCGUCGAAAGCUCGCCGACGCCAUCUGUAGACGAGGAGCUGCCGUUGCCUGUUGCACGAACCCCGAGGCGCACCCAGUGGCUUGCUCUCUCUCUCUCUCAGCGGCAGUUGUUUUCCCUUUCAUUUCUUCGGCAUAUCCACGUUUUAUAGCGCACUUCUGCCGUGGUCUUUUCUGAGGUGGCGGUGCCGGCCGCUCUGGUGCGUUAGGAAGCGCGUGGUGCUUGGUAUCCAGCUGAGUAUCAGUCGCCUGAACAUACGUCUACACGGACGUGCGAAAGCGGCCCGGCGAUGCGUAUGCCAGUGUAUUUUCUUUUCUCACAUCGCGUGCAAGACUGGUGUGAGCGACAGUAUCCUUCGCGCUAAUUGCCCUACCUGACCUGGAGAGGCUCGUAAAAAAGUCACAUUAGAGUCACGGUCGAACAUAUAAACAUCCAAAUAAAAGGGAGAUGGCCACUCGCUGCCCCGUGCCAGCCAGCCAGCAGUUGCGGGCGCGGCGAAUGCUGAUCACGUACGUGGCCUGCUGUUUGUCGACUGCGACGAGCGCUUCUUGGAAUCAGCGACGAUGCUGCGUAUUCUUUUCGAUGGCCCCGCAGCCACCUUCGAUGCCUCUCGCCAGCCCACCGCCCCUUCAUGACACGAUCGCGGCAGCGACGUCGAAAACCGCCCCUGAGGACUUCGCCGCCGCCUUUGCACGUGCUGCGGCCGACGUAGCCGAUGACCUUCCGCAAGGCGGCAGCUGCGCUACCCAUUUUCAGAGGUCGGCCCACCUUUCCGCCUGGACGGAGUACCUCGUCGGGUUACGCGGCGCACCUCCUAGCAAAACAGCCGAGGCACCUCAGGAGAGCGGCGGUGCCUCGAUGAGGGCCUCGUCCUCUACCGCCGGGGCUCCUCUGACCGGCGACUUUGCGGCUGCACAGGAUAUGUUUCUGCACCAUAUCUUCGACGAUGUUAAGGAAGCGGCAUUGUACUCGACCACUCGCCGCCCAGAGGCGUUUCUGCGCCCUGAGCAAGCGGCGACCGACGUCACUCCUGCGGGCGAGUUUCAGUGGCAGCUUAUGCCGCUAUCAGUGGCGCUGAAGGACAUGGAAGCUGUCCUGCAGGACAUGCUCCUGCGGGAGCAGAGGGAUUGCUUCAAAGGUGAGUCGGCCGGGUUCCCCGCCGACUCGGUGGUCGCGUUUUGGCGCGCCAUGCUGGAGCAGGCAUUCCUCGGACAAUACUGUGAGCUCGCCGCGCUGAAUGCCGGCGACGUGGCAGCACCCGGUGCGCCGCAACAUUGGCUGCAGCACAUCUACCCUUACGACUACUCCCGGCAACCGGCAGGACUGCGACGGCGUCUCGAGAGUGGCAUCCGUGCGCUUCUCUGCUCAUCUGCCUACACACUUCACAUGCACUGGGAGCAGCACAUGGCGCGCCAUCAUCCAUCGGAUGGCGCUGCAACGAUCUUGGGGCUCGAGUUUGUCAUGCUUUGGUGGUGGGCUAAUCCGGAUCAGAUGCCAAUUGAGGUAUCCCUCUCUGCGGCUCGACUGCCGCCACCGACGCGGCAGUCGUUGCGACAGCAAGAGUCGCCAUCGGAGGCGGCUGCUUUGGGACACCACGAAGCUAGCAGGCGGCAGCCAGCCGCGUCACCGAGGCGAGCAGUGGAUACCUCAAUGGCACCGCCAUCUGUUGAGCAGCAUUUGCAGCGCUACCUCGCUCACCAUUUGGGCUCGGGUAGCGCCGAUGCGCAUACCCAUCCUCAGCAUGAGCAGCAACUGCGGCAGCAGCGGCGUCGCCAUGUACUCCGCGACGGUGGUCUUCUCUGUCCGGCAGCGGUGUUUCCUCCAGCAUACCAAGACGCGCUCCGUGCACACUUGGCCCGCGUGCGCGACAGGAAAAGCCUGACCACAUGCCCAUUGUUCCUGCGCUUGGUGGAGGUGGCUCUGGCGGUGGCCACAUCCGAUGCGGCGGCCGUAAGUGGGGGCAACGUGCCAAGCUCGUCGGCACACCCCGCCCAAUGCAAGCUUCUGAGCGCGGCUGCCCGCCGCGGUCGAGAAAUCGCCAUUCAGCUUUGCCAAGAGUGGCUGUGGCCAGUGGUAUGCGGUCGCUCUUCUCCGCUCACGAUGCCAUCGAUCGGGCAGGCGCCUCAGCGUUGUAGCGCCGCCGUCGCGCACGCGCCGCCACACGCCGAGUCGAUGGAGACAUUUGAGGACUGGGCUGUGCUGAUAGCAGCCGUAGCGGCGGUGUCGCAGGUGCGCGGCAACCUGCUCGCGUUGCGGCGUGCGGGCGGAGCGAGUGUGCAAGGAAGGCGUGAAGGAGCGCAUUGCGCGACCAUCCCCGGAGCCGGCGGUAGCAGCAGUGAAGAGGCGGAUGCUGCGACGUUGGAUAGAGGCACGAGCCUCGCUCACGUUCGUGACCACCUCUAUAUGCCUCUGAUGCGAGCCUUGCUGGCCGACCGCGAAGAUGUGUCGUCCAGUGACGACGAGCGUUCUGUCGAUGUCUACGGUGUGACAGUGCCAGACGACAUGCCUGGUUGGGUGGCCCUUGUAUUCGCGCGCGUGUCCGCCUGCUUUGAGGAGGCCGGGAUGCUGCAACGCGACGUAGCCCGCCAGCCUGCGACCCCUGCGCGGCUCUGGUGCCUUCUCUUCCACGCCAUGUGUGACGCGUUCCCCGGCGUCUUUCAUUCGCGCAACACCGUGACGGUCAUGUGGACGCUGCUGGCGCUCGAGGGAGUUUGCGCGGGGCCGUCGCUCUACUACAGCACCUAUCGCGCGACAAAUGCCGGCAAAACACAGACGAUGUCCGCGUGGCUGAACACGCUGGCAGUUUGGAACAGCUCCAUCGUAGGUGCUACCGAGCUUGCCCAGUUGGAGACACUGCCGAGCUGCGCCGGUGAAAACGAAGGUGUGGCUGCAUGCGCGCUGUGCCCGCAGACAGAGAGGUGCCAGCGGACCGCGUUUGUUCUCUCGACUGCCGUGGUCGAAACUUCAGCUAACGAUGGUGAUCUGAGACCCUCGGGAGUCGGAGCGUCUCCGGCACACUCGCGACAAGGGAGGAGGCGCGGUAGAGUGACGUCUCUUCCCUCAUUCGCCAGUACUUUGUCUCCUGCAUUACCACUGCAGCGGAGCUCCGCAGCUGCACUCGCCCAAGCGCAGGCCCAUCUCACCUCCUGCGUGGAGCUGUCUGAAGAGGUGGUGACGGUUUCCAUCGAGGUCUUCCGGCGAUACGCAACGCUGCCGGUGUCGGUGCCUGGCGUGAGGACGCUGCCCUCCAUCGAGACUGCUGCAUCGGUGCCCCACGUGGGAGAGGAGCGACACCGCCAUAACGGCGACAGGCUACCGACAGAGGCGGCGUUGUUGCGGCCUCGGGGGCACCCAUCAUUGAUGGUGCUUCUCCGCCUUCUUCAGGUUGUGGCACUGUUCGGUGAAGCCGGAAACCCCGCAUCUGUCGGCGAUCCUGGUCUUGUCCAAUGCGUGGUGGAUGAUGUGAUGCGUGCAUGUCAUCCUGUGGUUGCUGCGUACCUGCGCAGGCUGCGCGUCUACGCGGCGGCAGCGUCAGGGAGAAGCGGUGCCCUGGCGCUGCUACACAAUGAAGCACUGCAGAGUGCACUAGAUAGCCUUCCUCCCUCACUAGGGCGGCAGCGUCUCAUGAAGGCGUUGCUGUGGUCUGGACUGCCAGCCUCCGCGUUGGAGAAAGGAAAGGCGACCGAGGCAGUAGUGUACGGCAGCGGCUCUCUUGCAUGGUAUGUACUGGAGAGAAAUCAGCAGCGGUUCCUCGCCUUCAACGAACACAACACGUCUGCCGCCGCAUCCAUCGACACGGCGGACGGCAGACACCACAAGCGGCAGCCAUUCUCCACCCACGAGAGAAGCGAAAGAGGCAGCGGCGCAGGCGAUGGCACGAACAGUUUCGCAGAAGUGGUGUCUUGCUUGGAUGAGGUUGUGAAGCACCUUUGGCAGUUGGCGAUCGCUAUCCCAGACACGGCCCGUGUUGCCCUCUUCCUUUACCCGUACGUGAAAAAUGUCGUGGAAAGGCGCACUAGCCAAGACACAGCCGUGAACUCUCCGGAAACGGACGUCAAGUGUUCUGAUGAAGGCGCGUCGGCGCCAACUAGCUGCGACAGCGAUGGGGUGGCCGACAAUGAACCCGAGUCCGCCCGGGUGAGCAGCGACGAAGACACAUCACCCGCCUUGUCCACCGCCGCUGCUGGCGAAGACAUACCCGAUGCGUUGGAGUGCGAAAGCGGCGCCCUCCUGGAAGGCACAGCAGACGAGUGCCUCGACGCCGAAGUCGAGGGGGUCGACGUUACUGCGGACUGGGGCACGAGCACUUUGCCCGUGGAGGAUGACUUCGACGACGACGUGGCGGCCGUCGUGCCUGCAGCAGAGGACGCGCACGCACCACUGAUCGCCGCCUCGCUGUGGGACUCGCGCGCGGCGGUCAGAUCUUCUGUGACCCGCGAUGCAACGCAGCAUGAAGACAACGACAUCACACCCGUGCGCAGCCAUGACGAACACGGCGUAAAACAUGGGGACUCGACGGAAGGCGCAGACAGCUACGACACACCGACGCACCAUGACGAAUAUCGCGCGCUAGCACACGCGCUGCUACUCGCCACACCUGCGGCGCAGCACAUCUUCUCUUCGCUGCUCGAGGUGCUCUCUUGGACAGCCACGCCGCAGACAUCUUCGACAGACAGCGCGACGAGCUGGGCUCUCGUCUGCCCUCUAGGCCAUGCGCAACUGUCAGGUGACAUUGGUUGCCAUUGGCGCGCACGACUGGCUGCCAAUUACGGCAAGUGCGUGUCUGUGUGGCAGGCGCACUGCCAUCUCACCAGCGCGAGUGCAGCGGCCACGCCGGGGGCGGCCGUGCUGUGUCGGCCACAGACCAUAGAGCGCGUCGCUCUUCUCCUUUUGCAGUCGUGCCCUGACGUCUAUGUACUGGGGCUGCUACUCCUUGCGAUGGCGGGUGGCGCAGCGGAUACUCAGGACGUGUCGCGCAGUGCAGCGGAAGCGUUUGCACGUCGUCUCCGACGCACUGGCUCGCUGCUUCCGUGGUCAGUCGAGUCGUCUCUGGCGCAGCUUCUUUUUCACGCCGGUGUGACGGCUGCGAGUGUGCGACGGUGGCGCGCGGAGCGUGGGUUGACAGACGGCUCGGCGGUGCGCUGCGGCACGGUAGGCGCUGCCUCCGCAGCGCUUCUGCAUGUUGCGGACCAUCGCAGGCUGCUGCAGCGCGUGCGAAAAAACUCGGGCACAGUGGGCGGUGGAGGCGGCACCAGUGUUGCCGAUUACGAGGUGAAGCGUGAUCUGCUGCUGAGCAUGGGCAGCCUACUCCUCUGCUCUCUGCAGCAGCGGGGUGCACCGGGGUCGCAGUGCCAUGAACUGUAUCGGUACAAUGCUUACGUGAACGAGUUUCUUCUUCACCGCAUGCCCGCCGUGGAGACCGGACGGUUUUCGCCAUCGUCGUCGUCGCCGGAUGUGCCCAUCACCGCCCUGCGCGUCCUUCUCCCGUCUGCGCAGCUAAGCAGUCCGUCCCCUAGCAGCAUGCCGCCGCAGCAGGUCGUCUCCCUGAGAAUCGCGUGGCAGCGCCGCAUCGGGCGUUCGGACAGGGCGACACUGCGAAGGUGCUUCCAAACAACAGAUGCCUGUGCAACUACGGUAAAGCACGACGGCACCUACUGCGACAACUUCGCUUCCGUACAGAAAGAAGAGCCCAUGGGCGAGAACGAAGACUACGCCGCAGCAUUCGCCUAACGUCACGGCACAGCCAAGAUUUUUGUGCCUGAAAGUCUAAACAGCUCCAAAGCAUGCCGAGCUCUCUGCCUAUCACCUCUUCUUGCCUCUCACACUGGCACUGCGCACACCACGACGACCACCGCGCACCGCUACCGCUGCUGUCUUGUGCAGUGAGUUGCUUGCCUCACUGCUCACAGAUUUCCCAC